rnacentral:rRNA from 1 species
CCUGCCCUUGGGUCCGGCAUAACCCCGGGAAACUGGGGAUAAUUCCGGAUAACGCAUAUAUGCUGGAAUGCUUUAUGCGUCAAAUGGAUUCGUCUGCCCAAGGAUGGGUCUGCGGCCUAUCAGGUAGUAGUGGGUGUAAUGUACCUACUAGCCGACGACGGGUACGGGUUGUGAGAGCAAGAGCCCGGAGAUGGAUUCUGAGACAUGAAUCCAGGCCCUACGGGGCGCAGCAGGCGCGAAAACUUUACAAUGCGGGAAACCGUGAUAAGGGGACACCGAGUGCCAGCAUCAUAUGCUGGCUGUCCGGGUGUGUAAAAUACACCCGUUAGCAAGGGCCGGGCAAGACCGGUGCCAGCCGCCGCGGUAACACCGGCGGCCCGAGUGGUGAUCGUGAUUAUUGGGUCUAAAGGGUCCGUAGCCGGUUUGGUCAGUCCUCCGGGAAAUCUGACGGCUUAACCGUUAGGCUUUCGGAGGAUACUGCCAGGCUUGGAACCGGGAGAGGUAAGAGGUACUACAGGGGUAGGAGUGAAAUCUUGUAAUCCCUGUGGGACCACCUGUGGCGAAGGCGUCUUACCAGAACGGGUUCGACGGUGAGG